CACGUAGGGCGCAAGCGUUGUCCGGAAUUAUUGGGCGUAAAGAGCUCGUAGGCGGUCUGUUACGUCUGCUGUGAAAACCCAGGGCUUAACCCUGGGCUUGCAGUGGAUACAGGCAGACUAGAGGCAGGUAGGGGAGAAUGGAAUUCCCGGUGUAGCGGUGAAAUGCGCAGAUAUCGGGAGGAACACCGGUGGCGAAGGCGGUUCUCUGGGCCUGACCUGACGCUGAGGAGCGAAAGCGUGGGGAGCGAACAGG
rnacentral:rRNA from 1 species